rnacentral:rRNA from 1 species
GACACUGAGGAGCGAAAGCGUGGGGAGCGAACAGGAUUAGAUACCCUGGUAGUCCACGCCGUAAACGGUGGGCACUAGUUGUGGGGACCUUCCACGGUCUCUGCGACGCAGCUAACGCAUUAAGUGCCCCGCCUGGGGAGUACGAUCGCAAGAUUAAAACUCAAAGGAAUUGACGGGGCCCCGCACAAGCAGCGGAGCAUGCGGCUUAAUUCGACGCAACGCGAAGAACCUUACCAAGGCUUGACAUAUACAGGAAUAUGGCAGAGAUGUCAUAGCCGCAAGGUCUGUAUACAGGUGGUGCAUGGUUGUCGUCAGCUCGUGUCGUGAGAUGUUGGGUUAAGUCCCGCAACGAGCGCAACCCUCGUUCUGUGUUGCCAGCAUUUAGUUGGGGACUCACAGGAGACUGCCGGGGUUAACUCGGAGGAAGGUGGGGAUGACGUCAAAUCAUCAUGCCCCUUAUGUCUUGGGCUGCACGCAUGCUACAAUGGCUGGUACAAACGGCUGCAAUACCGCAAGGUGGAGCGAAUCCGAGAAAGCCAGUCUCAGUUCGGAUUGGGGUCUGCAACUCGACCCCAUGAAGUCGGAGUUGCUAGUAAUCGUAGAUCAGCAACGCUACGGUGAAUACGUUCCCGGGGCUUGUACACACCGCCCGUCACGUCACGAAAUCGGUAACACCCGAAGUCAGUGCCCAACC